UUAAGUUCAGCGGGUAUCCCUACCUGAUCCGAGGUCAACCAUAGAAGGGGGUUCUGGCAGGCUACCGCCUAGCCCCAGAGCGAGAGCUGUACUACGCUUGGAGCCAGACGCUGCCGCCACUGUCUUUAGGGCCCGCCGGGGCGGCGGGGCCCAACACCAAGCAGAGCUUGAGGGUUGUAAUGACGCUCGAACAGGCAUGC
rnacentral:misc_RNA from 1 species